CAAGACGASGACGGGUAGCCGGCCUGAGAGGGCGACCGGCCACACUGGGACUGAGACACGGCCCAGAMUCCUACGGGAGGCAGCAGUGGGGAAUAUUGCACAAUGGGGGAAAMMCUGAUGCAGCGACGCAGCGUGCGGGAUGACGGCCUUCGGGUUGUAAACCGCUUUCAGCAGGGAAGAAGCGCAAGUGACGGUACCUGCAGAAGAAGUACCGGCUAACUACGUGCCAGCAGCCGCGGUAAUACGUAGGGUACGAGCGUUGUCCGGAAUUAUUGGGCGUAAAGAGCUCGUAGGUGGUUGGUCACGUCUGCUGUGGAAACGCAACGCUUAACGUUGCGCGUGCAGUGGGUACGGGCUGACUAGAGUGCAGUAGGGGAGUCUGGAAUUCCUGGUGUAGCGGUGAAAUGCGCAGAUWUCAGGAGGAACACCGGUGGCGAAGGCGGGACUCUGGGCUGUAACUGACACUGAGGAGCGAAAGCAUGGGGAGCGAACAGGAUUAGAUACCCUGGUAGUCCAUGCCGUAAACGUUGGGCACUAGGUGUGGGGGGCAUUCCACGUUCUCCGCGCCGUAGCUAACGCAUUAAGUGCCCCGCCUGGGGGAGUACGG
rnacentral:rRNA from 1 species